UCAACUCAAAUUUGUAUGGAGUUGGAAAGUUUGCCUACAUUUGCCACUAGAGGCGCCAACUGCAUACAAAUUUCAGUUA
rnacentral:pre_miRNA from 1 species